CAAAACCGAUCUAUGAAGACAAUAACUCGAACAACAGUUUUAUUACAGAUUCAAAGGAACAAUAACAAUAAACUUACCUCCUUACCUACUUAUCAGUACUUUUGAGGGUCCAUGCGGAUAUCCCCCUAUACUUGAACCUAAUAUCCAAUUUAUCAACAAAUUGGCUAUUCCUAUACCUUGUUCGGUAAUGGACGCCAAACAUACCACCACUUCAAUACCCCGUCCGGUUUGAGGUGAUAUAUACUUUCCAACCCCUUGUGAUAUGAGACUUCUUAGCCCCGUUUGACUGAGGUAACAUCUAUUGUAGGAUUUUCGUAUGCAU
rnacentral:lncRNA from 1 species